CAUUAGAUAACUUAAAGUAAGUUCAGGUCUCUUAAACCUAAUUAUAAUAAUUAACGCCUAUUUCUAAUGA
rnacentral:tRNA from 1 species